CUGACGGAUGCAGAGAUGUAUCUUCCCUUCGGGGCAGAGGUGACAGGUGGUGCAUGGUUGUCGUCAGCUCGUGUCGUGAGAUGUUGGGUUAAGUCCCGCAACGAGCGCAACCCUUGAUCUGUGUUACCAGCACGUAGUGGUGGGGACUCACAGGUGACUGCCGGCGUAAGUCGGAGGAAGGUGGGGAUGACGUCAAAUCAUCAUGCCCUUUAUGUCCUGGGCGACACACGUGCUACAAUGGGCGGAACAACGGGAAGCGAGACCGCGAGGUGGAGCAAAACCCUGAAAACCGUUCGUAGUUCNGGAUUGCAGGCUGCAACCCGCCUGCAUGAAGCCGGAAUUGCUAGUAAUCGCGGAUCAGCAUGCCGCGGUGAAUCCGUUCCCGGGCCUUGUACACACCGCCCGUCACACCACGAGAGUCGGCAACACCCGAAGUCGGUGGGGUAACCCGUAACNGGGGCCAGCCGCCGAAGGUGGGGCUGAUGAUUGGCUGUGAAGUCGUAACAAGGUAGCCGUAUCUGAAGGUGAAGGCUGGAUCACCU
rnacentral:rRNA from 1 species